GGGCCCGCACAAGCGGUGGAGCAUGUGGUUUAAUUCGAUGAUACGCGAGGAACCUUACCAGGGCUUAAAUGGGAGAUGACAGGGGCAGAGACGCCCUUUUCUUCGGACAUCUUUCAAGGUGCUGCAUGGUUGUCGUCAGCUCGUGCCGUGAGGUGUCAGGUUAAGUCCUAUAACGAGCGCAACCCCUACCGUUAGUUGCCAGCGAUUCAAGUCGGGGACUCUAACGGGACUGCCGGUGCAAACCGUGAGGAAGGUGGGGACGACGUCAAAUCAUCACGGCCCUUACGUCCUGGGCUACACACGUGCUACAAUGGUCGGUACAGAGGGAAGCUACCCCGUAAGGGGAUGCGGAUCUAUAAAACCGAUCUCAGUUCGGAUCGGGGUCUGCAACUCGACCCCGUGAAGCUGGAAUCGCUAGUAAUCGGAUAUC
rnacentral:rRNA from 1 species